UACGGAGGGUGCAAGCGUUAUCCGGAUUUACUGGGUUUAAAGGGUGCGUAGGUGGGUCUGUAAGUCAGUGGUGAAAUCUUCAAGCUUAACUUGGAAACUGCCAUUGAUACUAUAGGUCUUGAAUUAUCUGGAGGUAAGCGGAAUAUGUCAUGUAGCGGUGAAAUGCUUAGAUAUGACAUAGAACACCCAUUGCGAAGGCAGCUUACUACACGAUCAUUGACGCUGAGGCACGAAAGCGUGGGGAGCAAACAGG
rnacentral:rRNA from 1 species